GGACCAGUAGCUCAGCGGAUAGAGCAGCAGUUUCCGGAGCUGCGUGGCGGGGGUUCGAUUCCCUUCUGGUCCG
rnacentral:tRNA from 1 species